UUAAUAUUAUCCUAAUAUUUAUAUAAAUAUAAUAUAAUAUAAUAAUAUUUAUUAUAUUUUAUUAUUUAUACUAAUAUAUAUUUUUAUUAAUAUUAAUAUAAUAUUUAUAUUAAUAUUAUAUUAUAUUUAUAUCUAUAUUAAUAAAUUUAUUAUAUUAAAAUAAUAAUAUUGUAUUAACAUAAUAUUAAUAUAUAUCAGUAUUAUAUUGACACAAUAAAUUAUUAUGAUCUGAUGUUAUAUUAUAAUAUAUUAAUAUUAUAUUUAUAUUAAUAUAAAUAUAAUAUUAAUAUUUAUAUAAAUUUUAGGAGUAAAAAUAUAUGAUUAAAUAUAUGGUACAUGCAGUAUUUUCAGAACCGGACC
rnacentral:lncRNA from 1 species